UACGGAGGGUGCAAGCGUUAUCCGGAUUCACUGGGCUUAAAGCGUGCGUAGGCGGUCAUUUAAGUCUGUGGUGAAAUCUCCGAGCUUAACUCGGGAACUGCCGUUGAUACUAUCUGUCUUGAAUAUUGUGGAGGUAAGCGGAAUAUGUCAUGUAGCGGUGAAAUGCUUAGAUAUGACAUAGAACACCAAUUGCGAAGGCAGCUUACUACACAACGAUUGACGCUGAGGCACGAAAGCGUGGGGAUCAAACAGG
rnacentral:rRNA from 1 species